UAACUUUUUUAUUUUACCAUUGUGUAGAAAAAUGACAGGAAUAUACUUAAAGACCCAUAGUACGUAGUCAAUCUGAAAGGACACACCUGGGACCAGGGGAAGGAAGGGAUGGGAUUGGAGGGAAGAUCUACUUUUCACUGAAUUUUUCAAGGGCAGUUUGAAAUUUUGCAGUGUUCAUGAAUAACCUAUUGAAAAAUGCACUUAAAGGAAAAAAAUUAACUUUUUUGUUUAUUCAACUAACACUUUAAGUACAUACUAUAUUUCAUGCACUGCUAGGCCCUGGAACUAAAGGCAGACACUGUUCUAAAGGAGCACACAGAUUUUGGAAGAGGAGAUGCAAGACAGAGUUAAAAGUGUCAGGAUAGGUUAUCUAGAGAAGAUGAUGUCUGACCCAGAAAUAUGAAGGAAGAGUUUGUCAAGAGGACAGAAGGUGGGGGAAGGGAACUGAAGUUUAGGCGCAAGAAACAAUGUGCAAAGGUCCUGGAUCUGUUCAGGGAAUAUGAAGUUGCAUAAGGAAGCUUAUUUGCUAACCCAUAGCCUCUAAUGUUGGCAGUGGAAGGAGAGCCAUUGCUAGGGCAGAAGUGACUGGGGUUUAGUGGCUCUGGUUCCUGUUGCCUAAUAUUUUCCUCUCCCUUUUAGGAUCUGUCAUUCUACCGAAACCUUCAUGCUGGGCUGGCAGUACUUCAUUGCUACAUGGUUUGAAUGGCCUUUCCAAACGUCAACUCACAGCAGCGUCAGAAGAAUCCUCACAGACGUCUGAGAAAUCUUCGUUCUAUGGACCCUCCUUUGCAAGCAACUUUCUAGCCAAGUGCGCAUCGGUCAAAGGCAAACUCUGAAUUGAGCUUUGUGCCAGUCUCUGGA
rnacentral:lncRNA from 1 species